UACGUAGGUGGCAAGCGUUGUCCGGAUUUAUUGGGCGUAAAGCGAGCGCAGGCGGUUCCUUAAGUCUGAUGUGAAAGCCCACGGCUCAACCGUGGAAGGUCAUUGGAAACUGGGGAACUUAAGUGCAGAAGAGGAGAGUGGAAUUCCAUGUGUAGCGGUGAAAUGCGUAGAUAUAUGGAGGAACACCAGUGGCGAAGGCGACUCUCUGGUCUGUAACUGACGCUGAGGCUCGAAAGCGUGGGGAGCAAACAGGAUUAGAUA
rnacentral:rRNA from 1 species